UUGAGAGGAUGACCAGCCACACUGGGACUGGAACACGGCCCAGACUCCUACGGGAGGCAGCAGUGGGGAAUAUUGCGCAAUGGGGGAAACCCUGACGCAGCGACGCCAUGUGAGGGAUGAAGGCCUUCGGAUCGUAAACCUCUGUCAUGGGGGAAGAAACUGUUUGAGGCUAAUACCCUCUUUCCCUGACGGUACCUCCAGAGGAAGCACCGGCUAACUCCGUGGCAGCAGCCGCGGUAAUACGGAGGGUGCGAGCGUUAAUCGGAAUCACUGGGCGUAAAGCGCGCGUAGGCGGCGCGAUUAAGUCAGGCGUGAAAGCCCUCGGCUCAACCGGGGAAUUGCGCUUGAAUCUGUCGUGCUUGAGUCGCGGAGAGGGUGGCGGAAUUCCAGGUGUAGGAGUGAAAUCCGUAAAGAUCUGGUCGAACACCAGUGGCAAAGGCAGCCACCUGGACGAGUGCUGACGCUAAGGUGCGAAAGCGUGGGGAGCAAACAGGAUUACAUACCCUGCUAGUCCACGCCGUAAACGAUGAACACU
rnacentral:rRNA from 1 species